rnacentral:rRNA from 1 species
UACGAAGGGGGCUAGCGUUGCUCGGAAUUACUGGGCGUAAAGCGCACGUAGGCGGCUUCUUAAGUCGGUGGUGAAAUCCUGGAGCUCAACUCCAGAACUGCCUUCGAUACUGGGAAGCUCGAGUCCGGGAGAGGUGAGUGGAACUGCGAGUGUAGAGGUGAAAUUCGUAGAUAUUCGCAAGAACACCGGUGGCGAAGGCGGCCUUCUGGACAGCAUCUGACGCUGAGACGCGAAAGCGUGGGGAGCAAACAGG